GCCUCUGCAGAAAAGUGAGCCAGGCUGACACUUUGAAUAAGGUGGGCGGCGUGCGUGCAGGGGCGGUGGUGCUGGGAAGUAGGUUUGCUCUCGGUAGUGUAUGAAGCCCCACGCUGGGGAGGGGGCUCCUGGGAGGAGGGCUUGGGCAAGCUGCUCUUUCAUCUGGAGCCCCGCAAGACAGCUGCCCAAAUGCACGACGUGCCCCUCACUCUCAUGGAAGGAGCGCUGGCUGUGUUAACUGAGCAGGUUGUUGGCUACUGUUUGGAAGGCGGCUUUGUAAGCGAGAGAUGUCACGCGGUGAAGCAAAAUGACUUCCCAACCAAGUUAGGGGGAAGCUAGGGGCUUCGGAUGCCAGGGAGGAUGCAGUGGAAACCGUCAGAGGGGUCCUCAAUCCCCCAAAAAAGGUGCUUCCCAAGGAGUCAGAAGUGGCCUUGAAAAGCUAUAAUUUCGCAUGCAGCACCCAAAACCUGCUUUCACUGGAAAGUGGCUUUAUGACCAAUGCGAAGCCCGGGAAGGAUGUGCAUGCGGAGGGACAGACAUGGGAUCUCUCUGUACUUUCUACUCAGUUUUGCUGGGAGCAGAAAACUGCUCCUAAAAAGUAAUCAAUGGGGGAAAAAAAGAAGGGGAGCACAUGUAGUCCUAUGCCCUGUACUCAACUGAAUUGUUUCCUCUCUGCUUGAGGGUCCACACGGCAGGUCUUGGAACUGUGGUCCCAGGGUGUCCUGUGGGGCAGGCUUGCUUCCAAGGCAGCCUCACGUGGCUGUUACUCUGCGCAUCUGGACCGGGUCUGCCGGCCUCACUGGAGGUCGGAGCAUGAGUGUCUCACAUGAUACAUGAGCUUCGUGGCAUGUGCACACCCUGAAAACCCAGGGGAAAGGACUCCAGCACUGCCAUGGUGUAGCUUUUAGGGAAAUGGAGGCAAAGGCACCCUCCCUCAAAACUGUCCUCCCUCUGCCCCAUCCGUCUCCCAGAACCACGACGUCAGGACGGCUUCAGCAAACUCCAUCACUUCUUUGAGGCUGAAGGACUUUAGUCCACUUCGUAUGUUUCAUCCUGGGGAGGGAAGAGCUGUCUGUUUCACCGAGGAAAUGUAAAAGUAGCAGUCUGCUGGGUCAGCCCAACCUUUAAAGCCCUGCAUCCACCCAACCUCUACACACAAAAACACUCCAGCUUUCCACCUAGAUAAUUAUUAAAUUGUAAUAUAAAGCCUAACUUCUGCUUAAGUAUGCGUGAUUAUUAGACUACAAGUCAAUUGCGGAUAACACGCAGAUAUAAAUGCAGCUAAUAAGUCUUGCUGUAAUGAUUAAUCAAUUUAUGAAUACAUUAUUUAAACUAAUAGCUCAGGUAGGGUAUCUUAAACAAGUUACAGAGUACAUUGACCAAUUCAAAUACCAGCUGCCGGAUCAAUAGGAAACUGUAAGUAAACUCUGGGGAAUAGGUAUACUUGCAAAAAGAAAGAAAGAAAGAAAUCUGCGAACAAAAGGGUCUUGGAUGAAGGAAAUCUACUACAAUUUCAAUUAAGACAAAUGUAGAGCACUGUAAUAUAUACCAAAGCUUAAAGUGAAAGUUAAAAAAAGAAAAAGUGCAUUACUGCAAAUGGUGCUCUUUCCCCAGCCUGUGUGGUAAUGAUAAUUAAGGGCAGGUCAUACAUACAUACAUUUGCCCAAAAUUUUGCAUACUUUCACAAAUAAGCUGUAUUAAAGUUAACUUUGAUUGCUUAAAAAAUGAUGCAUGGGGUUCACUUCAUCACAAGGUACCAUAUUUACCUAUGUAUAUAUAAACGUCCCUUUAACAGAAAUGAAAAAAAAAAGAAAAAAG